rnacentral:rRNA from 1 species
CCUACGGUGGGCUGCAGUGAGGAAUAUUGGUCAAUGGACGCAAGUCUGAACCAGCCAUGCCGCGUGCAGGAUGACGGCUCUAUGAGUUGUAAACUGCUUUUGUACGAGGGUAAAACCCGAUACGUGUCUCGGGUUGAAAGUAUCGUACGAAUAAGGAUCGGCUAACUCCGUGCCAGCAGCCGCGGUAAUACGGAGGAUCCGAGCGUUAACCGGAUUUAUUGGGUUUAAAGGGUGCGUAGGCGGUUUGAUAAGUUGGAGGUGAAAUGUCGGGGCUCAACCCCGAAACUGCCUAUAAUACUGUUGGACUAGAGAGUAGUUGCGGUGGGCGGAAUGUAUGGUGUAGCAGUGAAAUGCUUAGAGAUCAGACAGAACACCGAUUGCGAAGGCAGCUUAC